rnacentral:rRNA from 1 species
AGAGUUUGAUCCUGGCUCAGAUUGAACGCUGGCGGCAUGCUUUACACAUGCAAGUCGAACGCGCCAGGGGGCAACCCCUGGUGAGUGGCGAACGGGUGAGUAAUACAUCGGAACGUACCCCGUAGUGGGGGAUAACCCAGCGAAAGCUGGGCUAAUACCGCAUAUGCUCUACGGAGGAAAGCAGGGGACCGCAAGGCCUUGUGCUAUGGGAGCGGCCGAUGUCCGAUUAGCUUGUUGGUGAGGUAAAGGCUCACCAAGGCGACGAUCGGUAGCUGGUCUGAGAGGAUGAUCAGCCACACUGGGACUGAGACACGGCCCAGACUCCUACGGGAGGCAGCAGUGGGGAAUUUUGGACAAUGGGGGCAACCCUGAUCCAGCCAUGCCGCGUGCGGGAAGAAGGCCUUCGGGUUGUAAACCGCUUUUGUCCGGGAAGAAAAGGCCCUCCCUAAUACGGAGGGUUCUUGACGGUACUGGAAGAAUAAGCACCGGCUAACUACGUGCCAGCAGCCGCGGUAAUACGUAGGGUGCGAGCGUUAAUCGGAAUUACUGGGCGUAAAGCGUGCGCAGGCGGUUCGUUAAGUUCGAUGUGAAAGCCCCGGGCUCAACCUGGGAAUGGCAUUGGAAACUGGCGAGCUUGAGUGUGGCAGAGGGGGGUGGAAUUCCACGUGUAGCAGUGAAAUGCGUAGAGAUGUGGAGGAACACCGAUGGCGAAGGCAGCCCCCUGGGCUAACACUGACGCUCAGGCACGAAAGCGUGGGGAGCAAACAGGAUUAGAUACCCUAGUAGUCC